AUUGAACGCUGGCGGCAGGCCUAACACAUGCAAGUCGAGCGAGCGGCGGACGGGUGAGUAAUGUAUGGGGACUGCCCGAUAGAGGGGGAGAACUACUGGAAACGGUAGCUAAUACAGCAUACUAUCGGAUAACCCAUAUGGGAUUAGCUAGUAGGUGAGGUAAUGGCUCACCUAGGCGACGAUCCCUAGCUGGUCUGAGAGGAUGAUCAGCCACACUGGGACUGAGACACGGCCCAGACUCCUACGGAGGCAGCAGUGGGGAAUAUUGCACAAUGGGCGCAAGCCUGAUGCAGCCAUGCCGCGUGUAUGAAGAAGGCCUUAGGGUUGUAAAGUACUUUCAGUCGGGAGGCGUUACCGGCAGAAGAAGCACCGGCUAACUCCGUGCCAGCCGCCGCGGUAAUUC
rnacentral:rRNA from 1 species